AAUAUGCUGAAUAUACCGGUUCUCGUUAGAUCACCGAAGUCAAGCAUCAUUGGGCGCGGUCAGUACUUGGGUGGGUGACCACCUGGGAACACCGCGUGCCGUU